AAAAAUAUCACGUAAUAAAAGAAAGCCUUACUCUCACACAUCUCGGCCGUCACAACCACUGUAUCAUCAUCAUCAUCAACCUCUCCUCGGCAGACGGAGGCUACUUAGGAGAUAUGCGAGGAGACCACUAGUUCGAAAUACGCGCGUGUUUAAGGUUAGUAAAUGUACUUGGCUACGAGUGAGGAGACGCUUAGAAUAACCACCUAGUCAAGAGACAAUUUCUAUUUCAGUUUUAAGUUGGAUUUUGUUAUUUAUUUUAUAGGAAUUGGUUGUAAUAUUUUAUGGGCCACCUUUUAGACCACUUAGUUAAUUUUGACUUUAAUGGUUUUAAAUUGUUUUGUUGCUUUGCAUUUAUUUUCUAUGUAUAAUAAAUGUAGCAGUGACACUCCCAAGGUUUAGACUAUGGUUUUUAUAAAAUAAAAACAGGGUUUUUGAUUAUAUAAAAGGUCCAAAUUUUGGGGGUGUUACAACUAAGGACUGAUUUUCCAAGCACAACUAUUCCAUAGUGGCAGCCAUUUUUUCUAGUUGCGUUUGCAUAUCUUCGAACGACAUGAUUCCAGUCAGUGCAGGGUCAAAUUGAGGUUUGAAGACAUGAGAUCCUGGAAAAGGGGAACGAUUAACUGAGAUGGGUGUUACUGGCUCUUGCAUUGGGGUGGAAGAUUCAAGACGCGUUAGUCGUUGGAUUGUAGAACGAUGCCUGCAGUAGAACUAGCCCUAUGUAUAAGACAAACUAUAUUUAGGAUUUCAAGUUUUAUUUGGACGGAGCUUAGUCUAGACUCGGACUUAUUUCUUUUUGGAGAAUGGUUUUCGAAAAAUUUUCUUUGUGAACGUUAAAAUUAUUUUAUUAGCAUGAGCGGUCUUAGGCCGACCAUUAAUGUCAUU